GUACUUUUCCCCUCCAACAACCAAAAAUAAAAUACAAAUAAAAAUAAAAAUCGAAGUGAGAGCUGUGAAUCUUCGACGUGGUUAAUUAUUAUAUACUUAAAACUAACCACUAGGCAUUAAAGUAUAUAUGCAGUUCCAGAAACUUUUGGUUUUACCAUAAUAAUCAAAAUCCCUUCAAGAAAUUAACAGAAAGGAGGCUGCAUUCUUGGCUUGCUAUUACUGUACUUCAUACAUACAAAGGCAAUAGAAAACGAGGACAAAUCAAGUUUACAAGUAUGCACAUGCAAAUGCUAUAUAUAUGUAUAUAUAGCCAAAGGAAAUUAAGUUAUCGAGAACAAGAAGCUAAACAAGGAAUAAAAACAAGUAGCUGGCGAGGUGCAACCUUGCAACUAUAUUGCAUCAGAAAAUACUUUUCCUUGUGUAGCCAGCUAAAAAAAGGAAAAAGGGAGAUAUAUGCUAGCUAUUGCUGUCAGUGAUACAUUGCCCAGCACAAAUACAUAUAUUGGAAAUGAUGCAAAUUAUAUCAACGAAUUUUAACUUAUUGAUAAUUGAGUCGUCUCAAACGAAUCAAAUGAACUUAAAGAAAUAGUAAGUUUUUACUUCAUUGUUACAUAUUAACCAACAUUCAUUUUUUUUAGUUACUCGUACGUACUUGCUGAUGUUUGCUGGUGUCUCUGCAAAGCAUUAAAACAUGUGUCAGAAAUGUACUAUAUAUAUGUAUUGACAGUCAUGUGGUGGAAAAACGUCUCAAUAGUUGCAAGGGCUUGUUAUUAUUGAAGAACAUUAUUAGCUGGCCGUAUGUAACAGUAGCUAAAAGAAAUUAUCCAUAAGCUCUACUUAAUGUUGUGGUGACAGUGGAAGACGUAGGAUAACAAACAAACAAAUGAAGGCAAUAGAAAGGAGGAGCUCCCUUCAGUCCAAGCACAGAAAAAGAGGGAUGCAAAAUUAUCUCCCGCAUCAUUCACACAAUCACAGUAGCUAAAACAGUAUUUGCCACUAUCUCUUUGUCUACUAGUGCUUGAAUGAAUGAGUCGGCAGAUAGUUCCAGCCCCUUUCACCCCAUCCAUGAGUGGGCUGAAGGAAGCUCCCCCACACCAUUUCUUCAUUUAACUAUUUCUGACUACAACACUAUCUUCUUCAAGAUACUGCAAUGCUCAGUGCACACAAUUCUUUAAUUUUCAGUCAGAACAGAUGAUGAUCAAGUACGGAUCUUCAUUUUGUGUUCAUGAAUUCUUCACCAUUAAAUCAUCACAUAUCAUAAAAUAAUUUCACAUAUUAAAAGAAAAAAAAAGGAGU
rnacentral:misc_RNA from 1 species